rnacentral:rRNA from 1 species
AUUGAACGCUGGCGGCAGGCCUAACACAUGCAAGUCGAAUGGUAACAGGAAACAGCUUGCUGUUUCGCUGACGAGUGGCGGACGGGUGUGUAAUGUCUGUGACACUGCCUGAUGGAGGGGGAUAACUACUGGAAACGGUGGCUAAUACCGCAUAACGUCGCAAGACCAAAGAGGGGGACCUUCGGGCCUCUUGCCAUCAGAUGUGCCCAGAUGGGAUUAGCUAGUAGGUGGGGUAACGGCUCACCUAGGCGACGAUCCCUAGCUGGUCUGAGAGGAUGACCGGCCACACUGGAACUGAGACACGGUCCAGACUCCUACGGGAGGCAGCAGUGGGGAAUAUUGCACAAUGGGCGAAAGCCUGAUGCAGCCAUGCCGCGUGGAUGAAGAAGGCCUUCGGGUUGUAAAGUACUUUCAGCGGGGAGGAAGGGAGUAAAGUUAAUACCUUUGCUCAUUGACGUUACCCGAAGAAGAAGCACCGGCUAACUCCGUG